GACUGCGGUAGGCUAUAGGUCGUACAUAAACCCCGCCCCCUCCGUGUUAGCGGAUGGGACAUGGGCCAAACUAAACAAAUCUAAAUACACCUCAAAUACAUUUUUCCCAAAGAUGGUUUCUGUCACUAUAGAUAGCUCUGAUCAUGCUGAUGUUUGUUCAAGUGUUUCUGAUCAGAUUGAUUUUUAUUAGUUAUUUGAUUCUACUGAAUCAAAUUCUAUUGGAUUGUCUGGCGAUUGGUUGGGCUGGUGUAUUUGGCGGGAAAAAUUACAAGAUGGCAGUGCCCGUAUCCGGGAUAUUUUAGCUUCACCUUUGUACAGCGGGAGGAAGUGGAGACGCGUCGUCCAUCUUUAUAUACAGUCUAUGAUUUGGUUUUGUGCAAGUGAAGUUUUGCU